rnacentral:rRNA from 1 species
CCUACGGGCGGCAGCAGUGAGGAAUAUUGGUCAAUGGGCGAGAGCCUGAACCAGCCAAGUCGCGUGAGGGAAGACUGCCCUACGGGUUGUAAACUUCUUUUAUAGAGGAAUAAAGUGAGGCACGUGUGCGUUUUUGUAUGUACUUUAUGAAUAAGGAUCGGCUAACUCCGUGCCAGCCGCCGCGGUAAUACGGAGGAUCCGAGCGUUAUCCGGAUUUAUUGGGUUUAAAGGGAGCGUAGCUGGUUUGUUAAGUCAGUUGUGAAAGUUUGCGGCUCAACCGGAAAAGUGCAAUUGAUACUGGGAGACUUGAGUGCAGUUGAGGUAGGCGGAACUCGAGGUGUAGCGGUGAAAUGCGUAGAU